GGCCUGAUGGUCUAGUAGUAUGAUUCCUUGUUAGGGUUCCCUCAAUUGGGGCUAUAAUCGAGGAGGUCCUGGGUUCAAUUCCCAGUCAGGCCC